rnacentral:rRNA from 1 species
UUUUUAAUUGAAAUCUUGUAUGAAUGGUUGGACAAAAGGGAUACUGUCUUUGUGUUAAAAUUGAAUUUAACUUUUAAGUGAAAAGGCUUAAAUGUUCUAGAAAGACGAUAAGACCCUAUAAAACUUUACAUUAAAGCUAAUUUUUAUUUAAUUUAAUGAUAAAAAUUUAAUUUAGUUAUUUUGUUUUGUUGGGGAGACAAUGGUAAAAUUUUUAUUAACUGCUGUAUUAUUAGACAAUGAUGUAUGUAUAAAUAAGUAAUAGAUCCUUUUUAGAGAUUGAAAGAUUAAGUUACUUUAGGGAUAACAGCGUUAUUUCUUUUGAGAGUCCAUAUCGAAAAAGAAGAUUGCGACCUCGAUGUUGAAUUAAAAUAUCUUUAUAAUGCAGCUGUUAUAAGAGAAAGUCUGUUCGACUUUUAAAUUUUUAC